rnacentral:rRNA from 1 species
UGGGGAAUAUUGCACAAUGGGCGAAAGCCUGAUGCAGCAACGCCGCGUGAGUGAUGAAGGCCUUCGGGUUGUAAAGCACUUUUGUCCGGAAAGAAAUCCUUGGCUCUAAUACAGUCGGGGGAUGACGGUACCGGAAGAAUAAGCACCGGCUAACUACGUGCCAGCAGCCGCGGUAAUACGUAGGGUGCAAGCGUUAAUCGGAAUUACUGGGCGUAAAGCGUGCGCAGGCGGUUUGCUAAGACCGAUGUGAAAUCCCCGGGCUCAACCUGGGAACUGCAUUGGUGACUGGCAGGCUAGAGUAUGGCAGAGGGGGGUAGAAUUCCACGUGUAGCAGUGAAAUGCGUAGAGAUGUGGAGGAAUACCGAUGGCGAAGGCAGCCCCCUGGGCCAAUACUGACGCUCAUGCACGAAAGCGUGGGGAGCAAACAGGAUUAGAUACCCUGGUAGUCCACGCCCUAAACGAUGUCAACUAGUUGUUGGGGAUUCAUUUCCUUAGUAACGUAGCUAACGCGUGAAGUUGACCGCCUGGGGAGUACGGUCGCAAGAUUAAAACUCAAAGGAAUUGACGGGGUCAUAGCUGUUUCC